AGAAUAUCUAUAUAAAGUCAGAAUCGCAUGAUAGUUAUUGCAAAGACAAAUGUUAAGGAUAUGGAACCUCUGUUCAUCUUUUAUCCGAUUCUGCUCUUUUUGGUUAAAGAGGUCCCCCAAAACAAGAAAAUUAAAGAUAACACGCCAAACGAAAUAAAGUUUGGAUCAAGGCAGGUUCAAGAGCUUUCAGAACUCUUACAAUGAAGUCUGUCAGCUGGCUCUCUCACUGCUACUCAGGAGUUCUAAACUCACUCUGUACAUAAAUCAAGGAACAGGAAAGCUCUCAACAAUACAAUGGAGUCAAGCCCACACUACAGACACGAGCAAAUUAAAUGAAGACGCUAUGACUUCCUGGUAUUUUUUUUUUUUUUUUUUGACCCUAAAAACUCACACUUGUUUUAAAACAUUAUCUAUAAAGCUCUAUAAUCUAGGAAGUGUGGCGACAAACCUCUAUUUCUCCAGAACAAAACC
rnacentral:lncRNA from 1 species